rnacentral:lncRNA from 1 species
CAGAUGUUCCAUAAUCGUCUUCACCAUUUGUUUUCCAUGUACCACAAAUAACAUGCUCUGUGGAUUUACAAAUAGAACAUGAAUAUCCAUUGGACUCUGGCUUUUAAUAAACAAACAAUACAUGUAAAGUUAUCGCUUUAAAGUGAAUCUUGAUAAUAUUAAUUUUGAAAGUCUUCAACUUUAUCUCUAAACCUUCAGUUGGUUGUAUCUUUAAG